rnacentral:rRNA from 1 species
AUUGAACGCUGGCGGCAGGCCUAACACAUGCAAGUCGAACGAGUGGCGGACGGGUGAGUAAUGUCUGGGAAACUGCCCGAUGGAGGGGGAUAACUACUGGAAACGGUAGCUAAUACCGCAUACCAUCGGAUGUGCCCAGAUGGGAUUAGCUAGUAGGUGGGGUAACGGCUCACCUAGGCGACGAUCCCUAGCUGGUCUGCAAGGGUGACCAGCCACACUGGAACUGAGACACGGUCCAGACGCCUACGUGAGGCAGCAGGGGUGAAGAUUGCACAAUGGGCGCAAGCCUGAUUCAGCCAUGCCGCGUGUAUGAAGAAGGCCUUCGGGUUGUAAAGUACUUUCAGCGAGGAUGCGUUACUCGCAGAAGAAGCACCGGCUAAAUCCGUGCCAGCAGCCGCGGUAAUUC